UGCAUCAGACAAUGUAAUCCCAGUUCGUCGCUGGAUACGUGGACAUUACACAAAAUUAACGAAUAUUGAUGAAGCAACAUGCAACCAUUGUAAUGAUAAAUAUAUUAUAUAUAUUAGGCAAUUACAUAUUUUACAUUUGCAUUUGAGAGAAAUACAUCCGGACAAAUUAACAGAAGAAGAGAAGAAAGAAGUGAAAUUCCAUUGGGCUUGGGACUAUUAUACUUUAAAAGACGAUGUAAGGGCAACAUGCAAUAUAUGUAAAAAAAUUAUUUAUUGCAAUUUCGUAUCUAAUUUAACGCAACACUUAAAAAAAGUUCACAAGAUAUUUGGUCCAAGUCCAGAUAGCGCAAUAAAUAACGAAAGCAGUUUAUAAAGCGAUGCAAACAGGGAUAUAUCUCUAAAAAAAGAAAAACAUCAAGAAGGUCCAUCUAACUCAUCAAACUUAUCUAAUUAUCCAUUACAGGAAUGUACAGAAGAAACAGGAACACUUAAUGAGAUGCAGCAGACAAUUUGAUCUCAUUCGCUGAAUACGUGGACAUUACACCAAAUUAACAAGUUGUAAUAAAGCAACAUGCAUUUAAUGAGAAAUUUAUUAUGUGUACCUAUUAGUUCCUAAAAACUUUACAAGAUCUUGGCAGAUGCACAUCCAGAUAAUGUAACAGAAGGAGAGAAAGAAGAAGUUGAAUUUCAUUGCGUUUAGGACUAUUUUACAGUAAAAAGUGGGACAGAGACAACGUGCAAAUAAAUGUAAAUUAACAAUUAGAGCUUCAUAUCGAGCACUUCAAUUUCAUUGGAUCAUAUUGCGGAGAGCCUUUUUCAUAAAUAUUCGGCAGAAUCUGUAAAAUUACCUAAUUCAGUUGACGAUUUAUCUUCUAAUGAAAUUUUGGACCU